rnacentral:rRNA from 1 species
CGAUGAGUGCUAAGUGUUAGGGGGUUUCCGCCCCUUAGUGCUGCAGCUAACGCAUUAAGCACUCCGCCUGGGGAGUACGACCGCAAGGUUGAAACUCAAAGGAAUUGACGGGGGCCCGCACAAGCGGUGGAGCAUGUGGUUUAAUUCGAAGCAACGCGAAGAACCUUACCAGGUCUUGACAUCCUUUGACCACUCUGGAGACAGAGCUUUCCCUUCGGGGACAAAGUGACAGGUGGUGCAUGGUUGUCGUCAGCUCGUGUCGUGAGAUGUUGGGUUAAGUCCCGCAACGAGCGCAACCCUUGAUUUUAGUUGCCAGCAUUUAGUUGGGCACUCUAAAGUGACUGCCGGUGCAAGCCGGAGGAAGGUGGGGAUGACGUCAAAUCAUCAUGCCCCUUAUGACCUGGGCUACACACGUGCUACAAUGGAUAGUACAAAGGGUCGCGAAGCCGCGAGGUGGAGCUAAUCCCAUAAAACUAUUCUCAGUUCGGAUUGUAGGCUGCAACUCGCCU